AUAAAACCUGCCUGCCACAGCCAAUGCACCUUGUCAAAUAUCAAUAAGUAGUAUAAAGAGCUAGAUUUACAAGUUCUCUAGGGUUGUCUGUGGCUCCCCCUUUCUUUUGUUUUCAGAGGAGCAUCUUAAUGUCUCUCUUCUCUUCUCUACUAUUGUCUGAACUUGAGGAUUAAAAGGUAUGCUAGUGGUGUGUAAAAUCUUACACUGUGCACACAAGUGUGCAAAAUGUUCAGAAGUAUAUGCAGGUCCAUUGUCUGUUUUCCUUGCUUGUGGCACACCCAUAAUUGCAAAUGCUUGUAUAAGGAAUUCAGUGACCACUCAGGCUGUCUCUUUUGCUGCUGAUAUUGUAAAAGUGAAUCCUGAAAAGGUGUCUACCACAACAUGGAAAAAAGACAGAGGACCAAAAGAUUUAUAAUGGGUCAAAUCCAUUUGCCACAUUUCAAUGGGUCUCAAACCACAAGGGUUCUUCUCUGGAGGCAGUGUAGGAGCGUGGAAGGGAAGGCAAGGUGUACAGGUUUUUACUAUGCUCCUAGCUUCCUCUCUUGUUAUUCCAAAUUGUAAGCGUAAAGCUCGAGCAGCCUGAUGAUAUUUAGAAUGAGAUUCUUGGGCUGCCUUUCAAAGUGCGCUCCAUCUCUUUCUGAUGGACAAGGUGAAUAUGGCUCAUUGGCACCCAUCUGAUUCCUUCUCCAUUUGUGGAGAUACAAACAAACCCUCUCCCCCAAGCAGUUAACAUAUCGGGUCCCUUCCAUUCACCACUUUCUGGGCCUCUCCACAUCACCUGGCGAUUAAAGAUAAUGGAGAGGCUCGCACUGGACACUGCCCUUCUGGUGGGUUAUAAAACCUGCCUGCCACAGCCAAUGCACCUUGUCAAACAUCAAGAAGUAGUAUAAAGAGCUAGAUUUACAAGUUCUCUAGGGUUGCCUGUCCACUGUGUGUGUGGACCUGCAAGAUAUCAA